rnacentral:misc_RNA from 1 species
AAUCUCGGAUGGCAAUGGAGGAUGCGGGGGGCAGCCGGCACCUCUGAAAUAUCUCGGCAUUGUGCCACGGCGAAACGUGAAGCAUUGCCGGACUUUUCUCUCU